rnacentral:rRNA from 1 species
GACGAACGCUGGCGGCGUGCCUAAUACAUGCAAGUAGAACGCUGAAGGAGGAGCUUGCUUCUCUGGAUGAGUUGCGAACGGGUGAGUAACGCGUAGGUAACCUGCCAGGUAGCGGGGGAUAACUAUUGGAAACGAUAGCUAAUACCGCAUAAGAGUAGAUGUCGCAUGACAUUUGCUUAAAAGGUGCAAUUGCAUCACUACCAGAUGGACCUGCGUUGUAUUAGCUAGUUGGUGAGGUAACGGCUCACCAAGGCGACGAUACAUAGCCGACCUGAGAGGGUGAUCGGCCACACUGGGACUGAGACACGGCCCAGACUCCUACGGGAGGCAGCAGUAGGGAAUCUUCGGCAAUGGACGGAAGUCUGACCGAGCAACGCCGCGUGAGUGAAGAAGGUUUUCGGAUCGUAAAGCUCUGUUGUAAGAGAAGAACGAGUGUGAGAGUGGA